AGGGUGAUUUAUAUAGUUAUAUUUUAUCUAAUUUAGUAAUUAGUCAUUUAUUAAGUAGCAUCAACUUCAAUUGCACCAGCACCUCACAUUCAUCUAAUCACUAUGCAGUGUGUUGUCCAAGUAUGUCCAUGCAUGUCUUUGUGUGUGUGUUUACCUGUAGUGACUAGGAAUGUGUGUGUGUGUGAGUAUGGAAGAGUGUAUGUUACCUGUAUAGGUAGAUACAGGUUGUUACCUGUAUAGGUAUAUACAGGUAAGUAAUAAGGCUUUUGGGUCAAACCAUUAUGUUGGUCACAUGAUUGUCAACAUGGGUUUUAUUGGUUAUGAUAAGAUAGUACAUAUGUUUUUAUUGGUUUAUAUUUUCCCUCCACUUUUAUUGUUUGUGUCUAAGUCUUUGUGUUGAAUCUGGCAGUUUUUCUGCUGGAAGUUCAAGAAGAAGGUACCGGUUCUACCUGUACAUCCGUCCGGCAUUUCAAAAGUUAUGGCGAUAGAUUUCCGACGUGGUUUUGGAAGAUAAAUUCAGUGAUCUACUCCUGUAAGUUUUCUUUCUAUUCUUUACUAACAUGUAUUUCACAUACUCUUGUAAAUAGUAUGAAAUUGUCUAUUUUUGAUGUUGGUUUGAUACAAGUCUGACAAAAUGUUGUAAGACUGAUUUUGUAAAUCCAUAAUAAUCUAUCAAGUGUAUAUCAAGUGUAUACAAUGUAUUAUUGUAAAGACAUAAUGUCAAUAUUGUAUUUUAUGUGGAGAUACCUUAAUUAUUGCAACUUUGCUAAUUAGUAUAUUUUAUUUGUGUAUAGGGCCCUGGGUCAACCUGUUUAGAUCUAAUCAGAAGAUUAGAUUGCCAGAGAAAGUUCAGCCCAUAGCAGAACUUGAAUUGAAUCUGGAAUUUGGUUACUGAACCGAAAUGGAUUGAAUAAAUAAUGAGAACAACC